rnacentral:tRNA from 1 species
GCGGGUAUGGUUUAGUGGUAGAACCUCAGCCUUCCAAGCUGAUGGCGCGGGUUCGACUCCCGCUACCCGCUCCA